rnacentral:rRNA from 1 species
AUCUCGCUGUCGCUAUAGGAUGGGCCCGCGGCGCAUUAGCUAGUUGGUGAGGUAACGGCUCACCAAGGCGACGAUGCGUAGCCGACCUGAGAGGGUGAUCGGCCACACUGGGACUGAGACACGGCCCAGACUCCUACGGGAGGCAGCAGUAGGGAAUCUUCCACAAUGGGCGAAAGCCUGAUGGAGCAACGCCGCGUGAGUGAAGAAGGUUUUCGGAUCGUAAAACUCUGUUGUAAGGGAAGAACAAGUACAGUAGUAACUGGCUGUACCUUGACGGUACCUUAUUAGAAAGCCACGGCUAACUACGUGCCAGCAGCCGCGGUAAUACGUAGGUGGCAAGCGUUGUCCGGAAUUAUUGGGCGUAAAGCGCG